UAGGGAAUCUUCGGCAAUGGACGGAAGUCUGACCGAGCAACGCCGCGUGAGUGAAGAAGGUUUUCGGAUCGUAAAGCUCUGUUGUAAGAGAAGAACGAGUGUGAGAGUGGAGAGUUCACACUGUGACGGUAUCUUACCAGAAAGGGACGGCUAACUACGUGCCAGCAGCCGCGGUAAUACGUAGGUCCCGAGCGUUGUCCGGAUUUAUUGGGCGUAAAGCGAGCGCAGGCGGUUAGAUAAGUCUGAAGUUAAAGGCUGUGGCUUAACCAUAGUACGCUUUGGAAACUGUUUAACUUGAGUGCAAGAGGGGAGAGUGGAAUUCCAUGUGUAGCGGUGAAAUGCGUAGAUAUAUGGAGGAACACCGGUGGCGAAAGCGGCUCUCUGGCUUGUAACUGACGCUGGGGCUCGAAAGCGUGGGGAGCAAACAGGAUUAGAUACCCUGGUAGUCCACGCCGUAAACGAUGAGUGCUAGGUGUUAGACCCUUUCCGGGGUUUAGUGCCGCAGCUAACGCAUUAAGCACUCCGCCUGGGGAGUACGACCGCAAGGUUG
rnacentral:rRNA from 1 species